GUGCUCGCUUCGUAGCACAUAUACUAAAAUUGGAAUGAUACAGAGAUUAGCAUGGCGCCUGCGCAAGGAUGACACGCAAAUUCGUGAAGCGUUCCAUAUUUUA
rnacentral:snRNA from 1 species